rnacentral:rRNA from 1 species
GAUGAACGCUGGCGGCGUGCCUAAUACAUGCAAGUCGAGCGAACGGACGAGAAGCUUGCUUUUCUGAUGUUAGCGGCGGACGGGUGAGUAACACGUGGAUAACCUACCUAUAAGACUGGGAUAACUUCGGGAAACCGGAGCUAAUACCGGAUAAUAUUUUGAACCGCAUGGUUCAAAAGUGAAAGACGGUCUUGCUGUCACUUAUAGAUGGAUCCGCGCUGCAUUAGCUAGUUGGUAAGGUAACGGCUUACCAAGGCAACGAUGCAUAGCCGACCUGAGAGGGUGAUCGGCCACACUGGAACUGAGACACGGUCCAGACUCCUACGGGAGGCAGCAGUAGGGAAUCUUCCGCAAUGGGCGAAAGCCUGACGGAGCAACGCCGCGUGAGUGAUGAAGGUCUUCGGAUCGUAAAACUCUGUUAUUAGGGAAGAACAUAUGUGUAAGUAACUGUGCAAAUCUUGACGGUACCUAAUCAGAAAGCCACGGCUAACUACG